UGUAAUUUAGUUCAAUUCAGAACUGCAGAUAGUACAGCUUCCACAGGAGCGAGGGAUGCCUGCACACAAGGGGCUGAGUUCCCAGUGACUUCCCGAAGCACUUUUCCGCCUUCCUCCGGCAUGAAAACCGAUUCUGCACCUGCACCGGGGACAGCCUGGCAAAAGCCUCUGCUCUUCCUCCGGGAAAACAAGGAACUAGAGCAGAUGACCAUUUUGAAAUUGGAUCUUGGCAAAAUUGCCAACAGAUCCAUUAAGGCAGUUUGAUCUACAUCUUCGAUGACAGUUCCAUCAAAGUUGAGGAAACAUGUCAUGUCUUCAAGGAAGAAUGAAGCUUGUUUGGUUAUACCCUAAAAUUAGGACAUGACUAAGCUUCUGAAAUGCCAACGUGAUGACUGCAGAUGCACCUGAAAUGAAAGCAAGUUCAAGAGAAUCCAAGAGUCUUUAAAUAGGAGAUCAUCAAGCUACAGCACCAGCCUUGGAUUGCCUACUUCAACUGAAUGAAUGGAUUCCAAUUUUAUUAAAGUGGUUGCUAUGUGUGAUUGUGAUUUCUGUCAUUUAAGCAAAACAAUAAUCACAGGACAAAGUGGCAAUAAGUGAACUCAAGAAGUAAUUUGACAUUGGUGAAUUGUCACCUGAAUGCCUCCAUCCCCACAAAGAGAACAGAAAUCAAUCCAUGUGAGAAGUGAUAAAAAACAUAACAGAUGGGGGCUGGUGCCAUGGCUCACUACGCUAAUCCUCCGCCUGCGGCGCCUGCACCCCAGGUUCUAGUCCCGAUGUUGCUGUGUCUCCUAAGGAAACAAGAUGUA